AUUGAACGCUGGCGGCAGGCUUAACACAUGCAAGUCGAGCGGUAACAGAGAGAAGCUUGCUUCCCUGCUGACGAGCGGCGGACGGGUGAGUAAUGCCUAGGAAUCUGCCUAGUAGUGGGGGAUAACUUGCCGAAAGGUAAGCUAAUACCGCAUACGUCCUACGGGAGAAAGGAGGGGACCUUCGGGCCUUUCGCUAUUAGAUGAGCCUAGGUCGGAUUAGUUAGUUGGGGAGGUAAUGGCUCACCAAGACCGCGAUCCGUAACUGGUCUGAGAGGAUGAUCAGUCAUACUGGAACUGAGACACGGUCCAGACUCCUACGGGAGGCAGCAGUGGGGAAUAUUGGACAAUGGGGGGAACCCUGAUCCAGCCAUGCCGCGUGUGUGAAGAAGGUCUUAGGAUUGUAAAGCACUUUAAGUUGGAGGAAGAGCAGUUAACUAAUAUUUGACUGUUUUGACGUUACCGACAGAAUAAGCACCGGCUAACUUCGUGCCAGCAGCCGCCGUAA
rnacentral:rRNA from 1 species